GAUGAACGCUAGCGACAGGCCUAACACAUGCAAGUCGAACGGAGAUAACUUAAAAGUUUACCUUUGAGUAUCUUAGUGGCGGACGGGUGAGUAACACGUGAGCAACCUACCCUUCAGUGUGAAAUAACGAUUAGGAAACGAUCGCUAAUACCGCAUAACAUCUUGGGACCGCAUGGUUCUGGGAUCAAAGUAUUUAUCGCUGGAGGGAUGGGCUCGCGGCCGAUUAGCUAGAUGGUGAGGUAACGGCCCACCAUGGCGACGAUCGGUAGCCGGACUGAGAGGUUGAACGGCCACAUUGGGACUGAGACACGGCCCAGACUCCUACGGGAGGCAGCAGGUGGGGGAUAUUGCACAAGUGGGGGGAACCCUGAUGCAGCGACGCCGCGUGUAGGAAGACGGUCCUC
rnacentral:rRNA from 1 species